CUUUAUAUUGCCGUCUCCGGAUCAGCCCUCCUUGACAGUUGACUCUAUCAUAUCACAAUCCAUGAAAUGAGCAGCUGUGAACACAAUUUUGUCAAAACAUAACGCACACCAUCGGCUGCUGAUUGAGUGAUAUUACUUCCUAAUUCACAGAUCUCCAAAUCUACUACUUUACACUAACCUAGCAAGACAAUGGAAUGAACACUUCAUCUUACUGAACUAAUUAACAUACUGGACAUUGAGACUUGAAUUCCAAUAAUUGGUAUCAUUGAAGUAUGACUGAAACACAUCAUUUAAUUUUGUAUAACCACUAAUUAGAAAGUGGAACAGAGGGACCAGUUUUAUGCACAACAUGAUAAUAAUAUGUUCUCUUCCUUAACUAUCCAUUUCCAUUUCACCGGAACCUACAUUA